AUUGAACGCUGGCGGCAUGCCUUACACAUGCAAGUCGAACGGUAACGGGCCUUCGGGUGCCGACGAGUGGCGCACGGGUGAGUAAUACAUCGGAACGUGCCCGAUCGUGGGGGAUAACGAGGCGAAAGCUUUGCUAAUACCGCAUACGAUCUACGGAUGAAAGCAGGGGACCGCAAGGCCUUGCGCGGACGGAGCGGCCGAUGGCAGAUUAGGUAGUUGGUGGGAUAAAAGCUUACCAAGCCGACGAUCUGUAGCUGGUCUGAGAGGAUGAUCAGCCACACUGGGACUGAGACACGGCCCAGACUCCUACGGGAGGCAGCAGUGGGGAAUUUUGGACAAUGGGCGCAAGCCUGAUCCAGCCAUGCCGCGUGCAGGAUGAAGACCUUCGGGUUGUAAACUGCUUUUGUACGGAACGAAAAGCCUUCUUUUAAUACAGGAGGGUCAUGACGGUACCGUAAGAAUAAGCACCGGCUAACUACGUG
rnacentral:rRNA from 1 species